GAUGAACGCUGGCGGCGUGCCUAAUACAUGCAAGUCGAGCGAACAGACGAGGAGCUUGCUCCUUUGACGUUAGCGGCGGACGGGUGAGUAACACGUGGGUAACCUACCUAUAAGACUGGGAUAGCUUCGGGAAACCGGAGCUAAUACCGGAUAAUAUUUCGAACCGCAUGGUUCGAUAGUGAAAGAUGGCUUUGCUAUCACUUAUAGAUGGACCUGCGCCGUAUUAGCUAGUUGGUAAGGUAACGGCUUACCAAGGCAACGAUACGUAGCCGACCUGAGAGGGUGAUCGGCCACACUGGAACUGAGACACGGUCCAGACUCCUACGGGAGGCAGCAGUAGGGAAUCUUCCGCAAUGGGCGAAAGCCUGACGGAGCAACGCCGCGUGAGUGAUGAAGGUCUUCGGAUCGUAAAACUCUGUUAUUAGGGAAGAACAAACGUGUAAGUAACUGUGCACGUCUUGACGGUACCUAAUCAGAAAGCCACGGCUAACUACGUG
rnacentral:rRNA from 1 species